UCGGCCGGCCCGGCACUGCCAGCACAAAGCCCGUCUGUGCUGCCCGGGGUGCACAGCCCCUGCUCCCACCCUGCCCCAGCCCAGCCAGCCACCCCCAAGAGCUGGAGCCCUCGGCCCCGGCCCCGCACCCCUGGAAAAUGCCCCGGCCCUUGAGACGACGCAGCCAGGCACCGAUAGAAACGAUAUUUUAUUCCUUCCCCCUGUUAGGUCACAGCACAGAACACACCAGUCCUUCACCACAGCAGCACAGUUGCCUAUUUAAAAGGAAACACAAUAGCUCAGUUUAUUUUACAACAGUCAGGAUUUGGCCAUUUCUACACACCACAGGGAUUUCUUUGUUUCGUGUUAACACCGACGGCACACUACAGACAGCACGGGCACGCCGAGGCGGGACGCACACAGCUGGCACCCGGGGCUGGGCUGCGCGGAGGCUGUUCCGCCCGAGGCAGCGGGCCAGCGCUGGGGCCCUGCUCAGCCACAGACGUUGUUUCCAGUCCUCUGCUCACUUUUGGCUUCUCGCACUUAGUGCAGCAGAGUUCACUUUUUCGCCAAGCCAAGCACACAGCACACAUAUGUUCUUUGUUUUUCUAACUCGAUUCCUAAAAUUCACACACUUCCGCACGCUGAAAGUGAUCUCCGCACGAGUUAACCACCAGGAUUGGCAGUGUCCUUGCUCGAAAAACAAACACAGCAUUCUGGAGUGCAAAUGAGCCCCGCUCCCCUCCAAGGAAGCAUAUGCUUUGCGAAGCGCCACAGGUUUUCUGGGUUGCUUCAAGCUGGCCCACCCACUUUUGCAUGAAGCUGAAAUAAAGUGAGAAGAGCAAACAUUGCAAAGGCUUUGCCGUUCUCUCUGCUUCGCCUUCAGCUGGCAGCGUCCAAGGCAGAAAGGCGCCGCUCCCCGCCCUCCCGCCGCGCUCAAUCCAGCUGUGCCUUUGCACAACGGCAGCGGAGAAGCAACAGCCCCGCGCCCGGCUGCGGCUGCGCCACUGGGCACACACCUCCCCGAUUUCUCCCCGUUAGUGGCACAAAGUUUGCGGUCACCAAACCGAGCGGCGGCCACGCACCCGUACAAGCCACGGGGAGCGGCAGCGCAGCGCGCUUCACACACGAUCUGAAUCAAAACAUGUUUUUUUCCUGUUAGAGCUGCGAGAUCUGCCUAAAUACGGAGAGAGGCGGAGAGGCACAGGAAGCGGCGCCCAGAGCUCUCCUGCCCUCCCGCCUCGACCCACCCUGCAGUAUUUAGAGGGAAAACCAAGUAUCUCCCCCCCACCCCGACCUGCGUGGCUGAGCGGGAGCGGGUGCCAGGACGGGGGUGCCAGGCGUUUGGGAGAGGCUCUCAGGUGAAGGCGCCAACGACACGGACUGAGGGAGCACGUGGAGUUUGCUGUUUGGGGGCUGCCUGGGGGCUCACCCCCUCGCUGGUAGGAUGGGGUGAGACCGGGCUGCGGAGCUAACCCCACGCCACGGAGGGGGCCGGGGCUGGACCUGCCUCAUGGCAAGGGCUUGCGGGUGGUGCCCACGCAGCCACCCUCACCCUCCCACGCUGAGCCUGGGCUUCAGGUGGCUGGAGCUGGGAGCCACCGGUAGCCAGGGGCCACCCGUAGCCACACGAACGUAGCUCGCAGGCACCAGCCCUGCUGCCUCCCUGCCGAGCUCACGGCCAACACCCUUCACUCCGCGCAAGGCACAGUCACAGCCCUCCCUCAGCCUCUUGCUCCUGGAUUAUCCCUCCUUACAGUUCCGCCUGUCACUGGGCUCGUGUGUGCGCACGGAGACUGUGUCUGUGCGAGAGAGAGGAGCGGGGAAAAUCCGGGCACGCAGCCCCAGCCUCUCCCGCCCACCGAUCAGCUCUCUGUACCACGGCAAAUCAUGCCGGAGCAAGGCAGGUGAAUUUGUCAUGGCGCUGGAUCCUGAAGUCCCCUUUUCCUUUCCGUUGCUCUGCAUAGAUCUGCCCUGUCAAGUCUCAGCCAUCACAGCGCAAUGCUGGGCAGCCUCCUCCUUCCGUCUGGAGUCCUCAGGGCAUCUCCCGAAGAUCAGACCUAGUUAAAAUCUCCAGUUUCUCUGCAAAGCCCCCAAGACGGUGACAGCAGUGCUCCGUUGCCUGGAGCAUUUAAGGGCGUGCAUGUGUGAAUGGGCAUUUCCAGCUACGCGUGGAUGUGCUCUUCUGCCAUUUCCCGUCAGCAUCAAUCUGGCUAUUACCGUGCCUGUUGUUGUGCCUCCUGCUCCUCAAGGAGAGGAGGAGAGAUCUCCAGCCCUCGCCAUGCUGUACAGACAGCACAGCACUCCCCACAUCUGGUGCCGAUGCGAAGGCUGACCAGAUGAAGACACAAAACUAAGAUCUAAUUGUCUCUUGCAGGUUGGGGGUAUCUCCCCAAAGCAGAGGACACUCAAAGGAAACUCCAGGAGCCCCAGGAACCCACUUUCAUCCCUGCUCCUGCUGGACGAGACUCACACAUGGGCCCCCACCGACCAGCCCCGACUGGGUCGACGCUGGCAAGAACACGCGAUGCCAGGGAAUCGCUGCGCACGGCUAAACCGGGCUCCGAGCGUGCCCUGUGCUGCGUCCUCACCCCUACCCAGCACUACACCUGCCUCCUCCCGGGCUUCUUCCAGCCCCAGGCAACCAGCCCUAAAACGUUCGGGAGCCUUGGCCGGAGCUGCCGGCCACAUCCUGCUCACACGCAGCCCCCGGCCCGCCCCGACGAUCCGGGUUUCCCCAAACAAGGAGCAGCAGGCAUGAAACGGCGAGGCUCACCCCUCACCGGAGUCAAACCCCCCGUGUGCUGAGUGCCGAGGUGCGGGGGAGACCGGCAGGGAAGGCAGCCGGCAGUGCCGGGGGAGCAGUAACCACCACCACCACCUCCCGCAGGAGUCGGUGGCUCCUGGCCUCUCCUUGUUGAGAUCACCGGGUCUGUAAACCUGGACCUGGAGCGUCCUCCCGCCGCACCCAGCUCUCCCCAGCCCUCGCCGCACACUAAAGCCUGGGCUCUGCCUGCUGAGCGAGCACGGCCAGGCGCCAGCACAACGGGAAUCCAACAGGUCAUCAAAAGCAGAGGUUACCUGGCACGUCCUGGUGGCCGGAGAAAUCCAGACCACCAGAAAACACUGAAAUAGCAGCGGAAGAGAAGCUGCCUCCAGCUCCCAUGUGUCCCAGGGUGCCACGAUACGGCCACGCUCAGCAGAGCAUCGAAGAGCGGACAUUUUCUCCAUUCUCUCCUUUGCUGCUGCUGUCGGGCGCGGCCACCGUCUAGCGCGAGGCCAGAGAAGUCCCCACCGGGCACGGCCGUUGUCGCUGCCAACGCCGUGAGGAGGGGCCCCACGGCGCCUGUGGCGCCUUCUCCGUGCCCGGGGACACGACAGCCGCGGAGCUCAGUGGCCUCUUUAUGCUUCUGGAGCACACAAACAGCCUGAAAGCCAGCGCGGGGGGACCGCCAGGCACGAAGCCACCAGCUUGCUGCGCCGGGGAAUCGCCGCAUCACCUGAACUCCGGGCGAGACCGG